rnacentral:lncRNA from 1 species
CCUCUAUCUUCGUUUCACUCCAUUUAGAUUUUUUCCCCCCUAUAGUCAACUGAAACCACUCAAAAAGGUCUCCAGGGCUGCCUUAUAUAGUUUCAUGUCUCUGUCUUCAUCCUACCUGAUCUGUUGGCAGUAUUUGAUUGGGUUGAUUACUCCCUCCUUGAAAAACUACUCUUGGUUUCCCCAAAAUCACUUUCCACUAGAAAUCAUCUGCCAGCUGCUAUUUGAGUCAGUUUGACCGAUCUUUAAAUGAAUAUAAAUGUACCGGAGUUUGAUUCUCCAGCACUGGAGACACACACACACACACACACUUACUCUCUCUCACACACACACACAAACACAGUUAUAUCUCUCCUCUGUUCAAACUUUCCAGUCACUUAAUGUUUCUCAUCACAUUCAGAAUUAAAUCCACACCCUUUGCCCUGGCCUACAAAAUGGAAGUCAUCUGGCUUCUGCCCAUUCUUCAGCUGCAUCUUAUACCACACUGGCCUUUGUGCUCUGUCUUGAUCCCACCAAGCUCAUAAGGGCUGUUAUGCUUGUUAUUUCCUGUGCCUAGAAAGCAUUUCACUCCAAUUUGCAUGGUUCACUACUUAUCAUUUAGAACUCUGCUCAGAUAUAAUCUCCUCAGAGAGACCUUCCCAAACAACUCUAUCACUGCUUCC